ensembl:lncRNA
GUCAUAUCUUUGCUGUGACUAAAUAAUCAUUUACAGAGAGCCUCCGCCAACCCUUUGGACAACGGGACAUCAAUAACAUGGCUGUAGAAGAGUCGAGCUGACGCUCAGCCGUGGCGUGAUUUAUUGGCUUGUGCCCGUAAUUAAAGCCAAGCUGAUUCCUGAGCUUUCUGCUCCAUCACACGCGGCUGAGGUUUCAUAAAGAGAUUACUGUGUGUUGCCGCGUGCGGGAGUGCAGGGAAUGCAUCCAACGGCAUGCUCCUCAAUCUCCCGGCUCAGCUAGCUAGCUCGGUUUAUCAGUCUCGCUUUCUCUACCUCUCGACACAUCUUCCUCUCUGUCUCUCGGCUCAUCACUUGCAGGCACCAUAAGCAGAUGUUCUCCCAUCUCUACUCAUCGUCCAGACACGUCAAACCGGCCGCUGUCUCGUGCCGCUCAGGAGAUCAUGGAGGUCCAGACGGUGCAGCAGCUCGAUCUCCAGGACUCUGAUGAGGAUGAGGAGGAUUGCCUGGCUCUGGCCUGUCUUGAGGAAGAAUUCAGAAAUAUGAGCACUACACAAUGGGAUGAGGGUGAGGAUGGACACAUUCCAGUGGAUUAGAUUUGUCUGGACUGCAGUUACACAUAUUAAAGGUUUUGAUUGAAUUUUUUAAAAGUAGAAAUAAUUGAUAAAAAAAGUGUAAUAUAAAUAGAGGACAAGAAUAAAUAAAAGUUAGGUCUACA